rnacentral:rRNA from 1 species
AAGUGUCUUGAGAAGAGCAUCUGGUGGAUGCCUUGGCGACAAGAGGCGAUGAAGGACGUGGCAUGCUGCGAUAAGCUGUGGGGAGGUGCAAGCAACCUUUGAUCCGCAGAUUUCCGAAUGGGGAAACCCGGCACUGUAGUGUCACCCGAGAGGGGGCGAACCCGGAGAACUGAAACAUCUCAGUACCCGGAGGAAAGGACAUCAAUUGAGACUCCGUUAGUAGUGGCGAGCGAACGCGGACUAGGCCAGUGAUUAUGCUGAUAUAACUGGAACGUUCUGGGAAGGACGGCCGUAGAGGGUGAUAGCCCCGUAUAGGUAAAACAGGCGUAAUCCUUGAGUAGGGCGGGGCUCGUGAAACCCUGCUUGAACGUGGGAGGACCACCUUCCAAGCCUAAGUACUCCUUGUCGACCGAUAGCGUACAAGUACCGUGAGGGAAAGGUGAAAAGUACCCCUAUGAGGGGAGUGAAACAGUUCCUGAAACCGGAUGCUUACAAACUGCUAGAGGGCGAAAGCCUGAUAGCGUACCUUUUGCAUAAUGGGUCAGUGAGUUCGUCUGGCAAGCAAGCUUAAGCCGUUAGGUGUAGGCGCAGGGAAACCGAGUCUGAAUAGGGCGCAAAGUUUGUCGGAUGAGACCCGAAACCGAGUGAUCUAGGCAUGGCCAGGUUGAAGGUGACGUAACAGUCACUGGAGGACCGAACCGACUUCUGUUGAAAAAGGAGCGGAUGAGCUGUGCCUAGGGGUGAAAGGCCAAUCAAACUCGGAGAUAGCUGGUUCUCCGCGAAAACUAUUUAGGUAGUGCGUCUGGUAUUACCGCCGGGGGUAGAGCACUGAAUGGGCUAGGGGGGCGCGAGCCUUACCAAACCUAAUCAAACUCCGAAUACCGGUGAGUAGAGCCAGGCAGACAGACUACGGGUGCUAAGGUCCGUGGUCGAGAGGGAAACAGCCCAGACCGCCGUCUAAGGUCCCUAAGUUAUGACUAAGUGGGAAAGGAGGUGGAGUUGCAUAGACAACCAGGAAGUUGGCUUAGAAGCAGCCAUCUUUUAAAGAAAGCGUAACAGCUCACUGGUCAAGCGACUCUGCGCCGAAAAUGUACCGGGGCUAAAGUCAUACACCGAAGACGCGGGUUUAAAGAGCAUACGCUUAAUGACAUUUGGGAAUUGUUCAUGUCGAUCCCGAUUCAUUGAGCUCGUUGGACGCAGUUUCGACUGGGUUCGGCGGACGUAUCAAUGACGGUUUCCAACUGUCAUUGAGUGUAUGUGAUUUAAGCAGUAGCGGAGCGUUCUGUAGGCCGAUGAAGCCAUACCCGGGAGGGAUGGUGGAGGUAUCAGAAGUGAGAAUGCUGACAUGAGUAGCGACAAAGAGUGUGAGAAACACUCUCGCCGAAAGUCCAAGGGUUCCUGAGCUAGGCUAAUCCGCUCAGGGUGAGUCGGCCCCUAAGGCUAAGGAGAAAUCCGAUGCCGAUGGGAAUACGGUUAAUAUUCCGUAACCAGGUGUGAGUGACGAAUGGCGUAAGUUGUCAGUGCUAAUUGGAUUGUGCUGGCAGCGAAGCUGUUCCAGGAAAGAGCUCCACCGCAUGACCGUACCCGAAACCAACACAGGUGGACUGGUAGAGCAUACCAAGGCGCUUGAGAGAACUACGUUGAAGGAACUCGGCAAAUUGCCUCCGUAAGUUCGCGAGAAGGAGGCCCCGUCUUUGGGCAACCAGGGGCGGGGGGCACAGACCAGGGGGUGGCGACUGUUUACUAAAAACACAGGGCUCUGCUAAGUCGCAAGACGACGUAUAGGGUCUGACGCCUGCCCGGUGCCUGAAGGUUAAGGGGAGCGGUGAGAGCUGCGAACCGAAGCCCAGGUAAACGGCGGCCGUAACUAUAACGGUCCUAAGGUAGCGAAAUUCCUUGUCGGGUAAGUUCCGACCUGCACGAAUGGCGUAACGACUUCCCCACUGUCUCCAACGUAGACUCAGCGAAAUUGAAUUGCCCGUGAAGAUGCGGGCUCCCUGCGGUCAGACGGAAAGACCCCGUGCACCUUUACUACAGCUUUGCAGUGGUAUUAUGGGUUACAUGUGUAGGAUAGGCGGGAGCCGUUGAACCAAUGCCGCUAGGUGUUGGGGAGGCAUCCUUGAAAUACCGCCCUUGUAAUCUGUGAUAUCUAACCCGUAUUCGGGGACCCUGCAUGGUGGGUAGUUUGACUGGGGCGGUCGCCUCCUAAAGAGUAACGGAGGCGCGCGAUGGUGGGCUCAGGUUGGUCGGAAAUCAACCGUCGAGUGUAAUGGCAUAAGCCCGCCUGACUGCGAGACUGACACGUCGAGCAGAGACGAAAGUCGGCCAUAGUGAUCCGGUGGUCCCGAGUGGAAGGGCCAUCGCUCAACGGAUAAAAGGUACGCCGGGGAUAACAGGCUGAUCUCCCCCAAGAGUCCACAUCGACGGGGAGGUUUGGCACCUCGAUGUCGGCUCAUCGCAUCCUGGGGCUGGAGCAGGUCCCAAGGGUUUGGCUGUUCGCCAAUUAAAGCGGUACGUGAGCUGGGUUUAGAACGUCGUGAGACAGUUCGGUCCCUAUCUGCCGUGGGUGUACGAGACUUGAGAGGAUUUGCCCCUAGUACGAGAGGACCGGGGUGAACGUACCUCUGGUGUACCGGUUGUUGCGCCAGCAGCACCGCCGGGUAGCUAAGUACGGACGGGAUAACCGCUGAAAGCAUCUAAGCGGGAAACCCACCUCAAAACCAGGUCUCGCUGAGAGCCGUGGAAGACCACCACGUUGAUAGGUCCGGUGUGGAAGCGCAGUAAUGCGUGUAGCUAACGGAUCCUAAUCGCUCGAUAGCGACACUUGC